rnacentral:pre_miRNA from 1 species
CAAACUCCCAGCCUGUCUGGUCCCCAGCCUGGGCUGGGUGAGUACCUCUUAGAAAAGCUCACUCUCAAGCAUGACUAGCAGC